rnacentral:rRNA from 1 species
GAUGAACGCUGGCGGCGUGCCUAAUACAUGCGAGUCGAACGCUGGAACUCUAGCUUGCUAGAUUGAAGGAGUGGCGAACGGGUGAGUAAUACAUAAGCAACCUACCCACGAAGACUGGGAUAAUCUCUGGAAACGGGGACUAAUACCGGAUAGGUAAUCGGAAGGCAUCUUCUGAUUAUUAAAGGUUAAAAACACUGGUGGAUGGGCUUAUGGCGCAUUAGUUAGUUGGUGAGGUAACGGCCCACCAAGACGAUGAUGCGUAGCCGGCCUGAGAGGGUGAACGGCCACAUUGGGACUGAGACACGGCCCAGACUCCUACGGGAGGCAGCAGUAGGGAAUUUUCGGCAAUGGGGGAAACCCUGACCGAGCAACGCCGCGUGAGUGAUGACGGCCUUCGGGUUGUAAAGCUCUGUUGUAAGGGAAGAACGGUAGAUAGAGAAUAUCUAAAUGACGGUACCUUACCAGAAAGCCACGGCUAACUACGUG